UCUACCUUUAGCCUUAUAUCCAAGCACUUAGAGGAAGAAUGGCAUAAUACCAUGCCAGUUUUCCUUUAAGGAAGAAUUAUCACACAAUCACUCAAAGCUAUGGGAUGAAGCUACAUUUUCCUGAGCUUGCUAUAAAGAGAAUCAUAGGCUUGCGACGGGGAGGAUCACCAUGGGCCUGUGACGAAGCUGCAUUUUCUUGGGCUUGAGCGAACUGGAUACGCGACGACAAAGAUCUGCGUUAUCAGAUUUGUGUUCUCAGAUCUCUCUCGACGGGGACCCAACAAUAACCAAGCCUCAAAUGAGCACUUUCACACUUCAGGCGGCCAGUAGAUCCUCUAAUCCACAGUGACAAUGCUUAAGAAGAUUUGGCGAUGAAAUUUAUGUUGAUUUUGGAUCCUUGAGCUCUGUUAUUGAAGUUGGUGGUGGUCGGGCUCCUCAUUAUCUAGGUUUCUCCAUGUUCUAUGCUCAAAGUCAUGGGUUUCGAUUUACAUAUUUUUUAUGGUGCUUCUAAAUUCUAAGAGUCAAAGAGAAGAAGUGUUGGUGCCGGAUAAAUGUGAGAUGAAUGAACUACAAAAAUAUAGGCUUGAAGGUGAUCGAAGUUGGGGAAGAAAGAGAGAAUGAUGAAAUUGAAAAAAGAAAAAAAAAUGUGUGGGUUUGUGUUCUUAAUAUUUUUGGUUAAAUCUUUGUGUUAUUUUGCUAUAAAUCUGGGUUUUUGUUAUUGAUAAUUGUUUUGAUCUUUCUAGUGUAGAGAUUGAUGAUGAUGAGUUUUGA